rnacentral:rRNA from 1 species
GACGAACGCUGGCGGCGUGCUUAACACAUGCAAGUCGAGCGGUAAGGCCCUUUCGGGGGUACACGAGCGGCGAACGGGUGAGUAACACGUGGGUGACCUGCCCUCAGCUCUGGGAUAAGCCUGGGAAACCGGGUCUAAUACUGGAUAUGACUCCAUGACGCAUGUUGUGGGGUGGAAAGCCUUGUGCGGCUGAGGAUGGGCCCGCGGCCUAUCAGCUUGUUGGUGGGGNGAUGGCCUACCAAGGCGACGACGGGUAGCCGGCCUGAGAGGGCGACCGGCCACACUGGGACUGAGACACGGCCCAGACUCCUACGGGAGGCAGCAGUGGGGAAUCUUGCGCAAUGGGCGAAAGCCUGACGCAGCGACGCCGCGUGAGGGAUGACGGCCUCGGUU